GAACAGCAGCAACACAAACAUAUAUUGAUACAGACUUUUACAUUGUUCAAAUGUGAAACAAAAUCUGCAUAGACAACAUAAUCGAACCGAAAUAUACAUCAAAGUCAAAAAAGAUUCUAACAAUUAAAUUCUAGCAAUAAAAAUGGUACAAAAGAGUGAUAAAGCAUGGGUUUCAUAAAGAUAGCUAAGAUUUAUUGGUUCUAAAACGAUUUCCUAUGUAGAGCAGCUCACAAAUUCUACUAGCAAAUGCCAUCACCUUCCAAGAAAAUCCUAGUUUCCCAUAUUUCAUAUGAUAUAGGUAAAAAAAUUGAAUCAAAUAUGACUCAAGCUACUAAACAAUCAACAUUUAUCUUCCAAACAAACAAACCCCAAAAUUUAUUUAGCAGUAAAAUAUAAUCUUGUUUGUAAAGCCUAAAAAUAUGCAAGCCUCGGUGAAGAUUAUAGAAGACACAAACCAUAAUAAAAUGAUAAUAAUAGAGUACCAACCAAACGAAACAGUAACCGAAUUUAACUAAACAAAAAGAAAAUAUAACAUAAUAGAAAAUGAAACCAAAUGUUACCGCACAAAAUCACGACGUUAAGUGUUGCUGCUAUUGUGACGAAGAGUCCGCACGCAAACGCUGAAGCAAAUUCAAACCUCCAAAUCUCACAAUAGUUUUUGGCCACGAAUUUGAAAGAGGUUUGGAAAUAAAGUUAAUUUCACAAAGCAUAAAACCAAUAUGCAAUGUCCUGCAACGUGACACGAUCGCUCUAUUCACAAACUCUUGCUCAUCUUCUUCAAAUCUCACUACAAGCAAACAUCCCGAUCUGAGUCUAACUUGAGCUGUUGAGUAACUUAUUCCAGUUCAGAAUAUUUUGGAGGUUUCAUUUUCACAUGGAGAAUAGAUAGAUAUGCAAUUUCGGGAAGAAAUACAUGGUGAUGUGCGACUGUUUACGGUGUAAAGAGAAAGAGAUCUUUCCUCUUGACUGUGAGUAUUUAUCACAGAUUUAGAAGAAAAGCACAAUGGUGUUGUAGUAAGUUUAAGGCGUGAGUUACUCUUCGGAAAAGAUAGUUAGGGCGUGGUAUAAGGCGGCGCUGUAAGCAGCUAAUGAUGGGGUUUGGAUCGUUUGAAGGCGGAGGGAUUGUAGUGAUGAUGAAGUCGGUUUAUGGCUAAUAGUGAGGAUCACGAAGGGAGUUGGAUGUAGAGGGUUCGAAUGAUGAAGCAUAGUGGUGGCAGCAUGAUUUAAAGGGGGUUUGGAGGGCGGAUGUAUGGUUGGAGAAGAAAGGGGUUAUGUGGUGGUUGCCGAAGGAAAACGAGGUUAUGGUGAAGGUGUAAGGUGAUCGGCGACUAAGUUUGAGUUCUCAUGAAGAAUAAAGUUUUGUUUUCUUUUUCAAGUUCUCAGACCCUCCAUUUUUGUUGAUGAAAAAAUUAAUGCAGGCAAGCUCUUAUUUUUAUAUUUUAUAGAAAGAUCAUC
rnacentral:lncRNA from 1 species